rnacentral:rRNA from 1 species
AAGCAUAUCAAUAAGCGGAGGAAAAGAAACUAACAAGGAUUCCCCUAGUAACUGCGAGUGAAGCGGGAAAAGCUCAAAUUUAAAAUCUGGCAGUCUCUGGCUGUCCGAGUUGUAAUCUAGAGAAGUAAUGCCCGUGCUGGACCGUGUAUAAGUCUCCUGGGAUGGGGCGUCAUAGAGGGUGAGAAUCCCGUCUUUGACACGGACUACCAGUGCAUUGUGGUAUGCUCUCAAAGAGUCGAGUUGUUUGGGAAUGCAGCUCAAAAUGGGUGGUAAAUUCCAUCUAAAGCUAAAUAUUGGCGAGAGACCGAUAGCGAACAAGUACCGUGAGGGAAAGAUGAAAAGAACUUUGGAAAGAGAGUUAAACAGUACGUGAAAUUGCUGAAAGGGAAACGCUUGAAGUCAGUCGCGUUGGCCGGGAAUCAGCCUUGCUUUUGCAUGGUGUACUUUCUGGUUGACGGGUCAGCAUCAAUUUUGACCGCUGGAAAAAGGCCUGGGGAAUGUGGCAGCUUCGGCUGUGUUAUAGCCCCUAGUUGCAUACAGUGGUUGGGAUUGAGGAACUCAGCACGCCGCAAGGCCGGGUUUCGACCACGUUCGUGCUUAGGAUGCUGGCAUAAUGGCUUUAAGCGACCCGUCUUGAAACACGGACCAAGGAGUCUAACAUGCCUGCGAGUAUUUGGGUGGAAAACUCAAGUGCGUAAUGAAAGUGAAAGUUGAGAUCCCUGUCGUGGGGAGCAUCGACGCCCGGACCAGAACUUUUGGGACGGAUCCGCGGUGGAGCAUGUAUGUUGGGACCCGAAAGAUGGUGAACUAUGCCUGAAUAGGGUGAAGCCAGAGGAAACUCUGGUGGAGGCUCGUAGCGAUUCUGACGUGCAAAUCGAUCGUCAAAUUUGGGUAUAGGGGCGAAAGACUAAUCGAACCAUCUAGUAGCUGGUUCCUGCC